UGUGUUUAAAGGUUGCCGUAGUGAUCGUAACAAUGGCAUUUAAAAAUGGCUCAGGCAGUCACUUAAUGCCACAUGGCUAGAGAGUCCGUGGACGCUCAAGCUGUGACCUGAUCUGAUCUGUUACGGAUACACAACAAAUGCCUAAAGGGGGAUUCUUACAUUGAUAGAAAAUUCAUUUCGAAAAGUGCUCCAUGAAUCACUUGGCAGUGGCAAUGGGCUUACUCUGUGCACCCAGCACUAUCCAGUCUCCUCCAGCUACCCAGCUCCAGACCAUUCGUAACAGGUGAAAGGAUGUGCCGUGUGCACUGGGCCAGGAGAUAUGGAAGAGGAAAGAGAUGGGCAAAGUGACUCCCCCAGCAGACUUGUCGGUGGUAGCUUGGGUACCUUCCAUUCUGCCUACUUAGGGAAAGAGGCCAGCCUUAUGGAUCUGGGAAUUGGGAUUCAAAUCCCAGCCCUGCCACAGACUUUCUCGAUGACCCUUGAUCACAUGGGCACCUGGCCAGCAAAGCACGUCUACCUGGGUGGAAGCAGAAGCAUGUGAGCAGUCCCAUUGACAUCAGUGGGAUUUAACAUAGGACUGCACCUUUCGAAGUCUAAGAACUCUGCCUAUAGGCAGCCAUCUUUCUCUCAGAGCUGUUGCAGCCUGUUACAAGGGCUCCUGCUGCCCUUUCUCAGAACUCCCCCUCCUCUCUGUAACACAAACACCAACUGCAAUCCAGCCAGAGCUGACAGGCCGCUUCCUCUCAGAGCUGAAAGGUCAGGCCUCCUCGCUGCAGCCCGAGUUCCUGAGCCCAGCCACCUUCUCAGAUUCAGAGACGUCAGUUCUUUAUUUUUCCUCCUGCACCAGAAGAGCCCUGUGUUUGCCAGGGAAUUCGGAAAGUUGCAUGCUAGCCUCCAGCUGAGAAGAUUAGCCCGUUGUUUGUGAGAUGCCAUCCUGUUCCUACAGCCCCCUCUCCCACUGGAAUGUGGCCCAAAGCAUCACAAAACCAAAAUCUUCAGCUUCACACCGGUCGUGCUACCACCAGUGGUUCACAUCCAGUAUUUUCUGCCUUCUCUCGCUCAUGAGACCGGAAGGAUAUUUGAAGAUAUCACUUGGACUUUCCUCUUCUUCAUCUGCCUCCUAAAAUCCUGAAUCUCUCCCGAAUCUGUGUAAUUCCACAUGGUGUCAAGUCAUUGGUUCCAAUGUGUAUCAUCACCAGUGGAGAUUUGCCAGGUAUCUUCAUAAUCCUGCCCAACCUUGAAGUGAUAUCUUGUAAUUCAAUCUAUUCUGAGCACAGUACUACCUGCAUUACUCUCAAGCCUGCCCUGGACUGGUUGUAGGGGAAUGGGCAGACAUGAGUCCAGCCAAGUAUACCCCAUCUGCUGUUCUUCACCUGGCAUGCAUGCAGCUUUCUGAACAGGUGAUAAAGCUGGUUCCCUCACCUGCCAAAGCUGUUUCUGAAGUGUAGCACGGUAGGAUCGCACCAGUGCUAGCUGUCUGCAGUACAUGGUAAUGGAGGACACAGUGCCUGUCCGCACUGGGUGCAUCUUCACUCACCACCAGUGAGAGCAGCAGCAGAAACUACUGUUGAGCGGUAUAUACAGCCUGGGGUCUAAUCCUCAGAGUUGGCGGAGCUGUGCUGCUAGUCUAUGAUGUGUCCUGCCUCAUGCAAGCAAAGCCCCCUCGUUGUCCACCUUCAGAUCCCUCCUCAACAUUCUCCUUUGCUGUGAUGCCUAAAAAAACAAUGACAGUGAUUAGGCUGCUGGUGCCUACCACGCUGACCAAUAUUGUCUCAUUGUUUCUUGGUACUGCCUUGUCUGACUCUGUCUGUCGUCUCCUGAAUUACACUGUAAACUCCCUUGCAGCAAGGACUGUAUUUUUGUUCAGUCUUCGUACAGCACCUAGCACAGUUGGAUUCUGGUCCACGACUGGGGCUUCUAGGUGCCAUUGCAAUGCAAGUACUAAAUAAAUAUACGUAAAAGUGAGCACAAUCCCACGGGAGGUGUGAUC